rnacentral:ncRNA from 1 species
GAGCGCUGUGUGCAGUGAAAGUCGCAUGCACGGUGUGAAGUGAGGGAAAAAUGGAGAUAGUAUCAAAGUUUUACCUAUCGCUAU